rnacentral:rRNA from 1 species
ACCCUACGGGGGGCAGCAGUGAGGAAUAUUGGUCAAUGGGCUUACGCCUGAACCAGCCAAGUCGCGUGAGGGAAGACUGCCCUAUGGGUUGUAAACCUCUUUUGUCAGGGAGCAACGCCGGCUACGUGUAGCCGGACUGAGAGUACCUGAAGAAAAAGCAUCGGCUAACUCCGUGCCAGCAGCCGCGGUAAUACGGAGGGUGCAAGCGUUGUCCGGAAUCAUUGGGCGUAAAGAGUUCGUAGGCGGCACGUAAAGUCUGGUGUUAAAGGCAGAGGCUCAACUUCUGUACGGCACUGGAUACUUGC